rnacentral:rRNA from 1 species
UACGUAGGGUGCGAGCGUUAAUCGGAAUUACUGGGCGUAAAGCGUGCGCAGGCGGUUUUGUAAGCCAGAUGUGAAAUCUCCGGGCUUAACUCGGAACGGUCAGAUGAUACUGCUUUGCUCGAGUGCGGAAGGGGCAAUCGGAAUUCUUGGUGUAGCGGUGAAAUGCGUAGAUAUCAAGAGGAACACCUGAGGUGAAGACGGGUUGCUGGGCCGACACUGACGCUGACAGCGCGAAAGCCAGGGGAGCAAACGGG